GACGAACGCUGGCGGCGUGCCUAACACAUGCAAGUCGAACGGAGCAAUUACUUCGGUGAUUGCUUAGUGGCGAACGGGUGAGUAACGCGUGAGAAACCUGCCUUUCAGUGGGGGACAACAGUUGGAAACGACUGCUAAUACCGCAUAAUGUUAUUUGGGGGCAUCCCUGGAUAACCAAAGCUUUAUGUGCUGAAAGAUGGUCUCGCGUCUGAUUAGCUAGUUGGUGAGGUAACGGCUCACCAAGGCGACGAUGCAUAGGGGUUCUGAGAGGAAGGUCCCCCCANACUGGUACUGAGACACGGACCAGACUCCUACGGGAGGCAGCAGUGAGGAUAUUGGUCAAUGGUCGAGAGACUGAACCAGCCAAGUCGCGUGAGGG
rnacentral:rRNA from 1 species